rnacentral:tRNA from 1 species
GCCGGAGUGGCGGAAUUGGCAGACGCGAUGGAUUCAAAAUCCAUUUUGGUUCACCCCAAGUGUGGGUUCGAGUCCCACCUCCGGUA